rnacentral:rRNA from 11 species
ACUCUUGGUGGGACUUAAAUACACUAAAGUUACCAAAUCCUAUCUGUUCUUGGAAGUUAAUGCAAGGUCAGCCCUGGUUAAUACUUGGAUGGGAGACCACCAAUGAAUACCAAGGAACUGGGAAAA